GACCGCUUAGCUCAGUUGGAAGAGCGUUGCGCUUACAUCGCAAAGGUCGGGGGUUCGAAGCCUCCAGCGGUCA
rnacentral:tRNA from 1 species